AUGAACGCUAGCUACAGGCUUAACACAUGCAAGUCGAGGGGCAGCAUGGUCUUAGCUUGCUAAGGCCGAUGGCGACCGGCGCACGGGUGAGUAACACGUAUCCAACCUGCCGUCUACUCUUGGACAGCCUUCUGAAAGGAAGAUUAAUACAAGAUGGCAUCAUGAGUCCGCAUGUUCACAUGAUUAAAGGUAUUCCGGUAGACGAUGGGGAUGCGUUCCAUUAGAUAGUAGGCGGGGUAACGGCCCACCUAGUCUUCGAUGGGUAGGGGUUCUGAGAGGAAGGUCCCCCACAUUGGAACUGAGACACGGUCCAAACUCCUACGGGAGGCAGCAGUGAGGAAUAUUGGUCAAUGGGCGAGAGCCUGAACCAGCCAAGUAGCGUGAAGGAUGACUGCCCUAUGGGUUGUAAACUUCUUUUAUAAAGGAAUAAAGUCGGGUAUGGAUACCCGUUUGCAUGUACUUUAUGAAUAAGGAUCGGCUAACUCCGUGCCAGCAGCCGCGGUAAUACGGAGGAUCCGAGCGUUAUCCGGAUUUAUUGGGUUUAAAGGGAGCGUAGAUGGAUGUUUAAGUCAGUUGUGAAAGUUUGCGGCUCAACCGUAAAAUUGCAGUUGAUACUGGAUAUCUUGAGUGCAGUUGAGGCAGGCGGAAUUCGUGGUGUAGCGGUGAAAUGCUUAGAUAUCACGAAGAACUCCGAUUGCGAAGGCAGCCUGCUAAGCUGCAACUGACAUUGAGGCUCAAAAGUGUGUGUAUCAAGCAGGAUUAGAUACCCUGGUAUUACAGACGGUAAACGAUGAAUACUCGCUGUUUGCGAUAUACUGCAAGCGGCCAAGCGAAAGCGUUAAGUAUUCCACCUGGGGAGUACGCCGGCAACGGUGAAACUCAAAGGAAUUGACGGGGGCCCGCACAAGCGGAGGAACAUGUGGUUUAAUUCGAUGAUACGCGAGGAACCUUACCCGGGCUUAAAUUGCAGAUGAAUUACGGUGAAAGCCGUAAGCCGCAAGGCAUCUGUGAAGGUGCUGCAUGGUUGUCGUCAGCUCGUGCCGUGAGGUGUCGGCUUAAGUGCCAUAACGAGCGCAACCCUUGUUGUCAGUUACUAACAGGUUCCGCUGAGGACUCUGACAAGACUGCCAUCGUAAGAUGUGAGGAAGGUGGGGAUGACGUCAAAUCAGCACGGCCCUUACGUCCGGGGCUACACACGUGUUACAAUGGGGGGUACAGAGGGCCGCUACCACGCGAGUGGAUGCCAAUCCCCAAAACCUCUCUCAGUUCGGACUGGAGUCUGCAACCCGACUCCACGAAGCUGGAUUCGCUAGUAAUCGCGCAUCAGCCACGGCGCGGUGAAUACGUUCCCGGGCCUUGUACACACCGCCCGUCAAGCCAUGGGAGCCGGGGGUACCUGAAGUGCGUAACCGCGAGGAGCGCCCUAGGGUAAAACUGGUGACUGGGGCU
rnacentral:rRNA from 1 species